rnacentral:lncRNA from 1 species
UAGCCUCCAAUUUUGUAAUGCGUGAGGCUUUUAACACUGACCUGCUACUUUUUGGCACUAACUGAGCUUCCACAACAAAGCAAAACACAGCUGCUAGUAAAAUUUCAUACUUGCAAAUCAAAAUACUCAAAAAAAUCAAACUGGGUGUGCAAAACCCCACCAGAAGAUGGCCAAUUUCAGAAACACAUCAUAGAAGUCCAACCCUGCAGUGCAUUAAGCCUGUGCUUAUGCAAAAUCUAAAGAAUCACAGUGCAGAACUUCCCAAAACUGGUGGAAUUUGCAAUGCAAAUUGCAAUAGCACACUAAUCACACCCCAUUCCUGUAAACAAUGACCACAAACCUUUACCCCUUACAGAACACUCCCUCCAAAACAACAACCAUUCUAGCAAGCAAUCCCACCAGUACCCACACCUCACCCCACUGCACACUCUGUCAUUCCCACUCAAAUCAAGCCAAGGCAACAACGCUCCACCUCUACACCCACAUCUAAAUUCCCUUUUUUCCU